rnacentral:rRNA from 1 species
AGUGAACGCUGGCGGUAGGCCUAACACAUGCAAGUCGAACGGCAGCACAGAGGAGCUUGCUCCUUGGGUGGCGAGUGGCGGACGGGUGAGGAAUACAUCGGAAUCUACUCUGUCGUGGGGGAUAACGUAGGGAAACUUACGCUAAUACCGCAUACGACCUACGGGUGAAAGCAGGGGAUCUUCGGACCUUGCGCGAUUGAAUGAGCCGAUGUCGGAUUAGCUAGUUGGCGGGGUAAAGGCCCACCAAGGCGACGAUCCGUAGCUGGUCUGGGAGGAUGAUCAGCCACACUGGGACGGAGACACGGUCCAGACUCCUACGGGAGGCAGCAGUGGGGAAUAUUGGACAAUGGGCGCAAGCCUGAUCCAGCCAUACCGGGUGGGUGAAGAAGGCCUUCGGGUUGUAAAGCCCUUUUGUUGGGAAAGAAAUCCAUCUGGUUAAUACCCGGGUGGGAUGACGGUACCCAAAGAAUAAGCACCGGCUAACUACGUGCCAGCAGCCGCCGUAA